AAUGAACGUUGGCGGCGUGGAUUAGGCAUGCAAGUCGUACGAGAAACCUUUUUGCUUGCAUUAAGGGCGGACAGUGGCGAAAGGGAGAGUAACGCGUGGAUACUUACCUCGGGGUCUGGGAUAGCUGCGGGAAACUGCAGGUAAUACCGGAUAAUGUUUCCGAACCAAAGGUGUGAUUCCGCCCUGUGAUAGGUCCGCGUCCUACUAGCUUGUUGGUGAGGUAAUGGCUCACCAAGGCGACGAUGGGUAGCGGGUGUGAGAGCAUGGCCCGUCUCACUGGGACUGAGACACUGCCCAGACACCUACGGGUGGCUGCAGUCGAGAAUCUUCCGCAAUGGACGCAAGUCUGACGGAGCGACGCCGCGUGCGGGAUGAAGGCCCUCGGGUUGUAAACCGCUGUCAGUUGGGAGGAAAUGCUAUGGGGCACUCUCCAUAGUUUGACCAAUCUUCAGAGGAAGUCCGGGCUAAGUUCGUG
rnacentral:rRNA from 1 species